UUAGGAAUCUUCCGCAAUGGGCGCAAGCCUGACGGAGCGACGCCGCUUGGAGGAGGAAGCCCUUCGGGGUGUAAACUCCUGAACCCGGGACGAAAUCCCUGUGGAGGGGGCUGACGGUACCGGGGUAAUAGCGCCGGCCAACUCCGUGCCAGCAGCCGCGGUAAUACGGAGGGCGCGAGCGUUACCCGGAUUUACUGGGCGUAAAGGGCGUGUAGGCGGCCUGGGGCGUCCCAUGUGAAAGACCACGGCUCAACCGUGGGGGAGCGUGGGAUACGCUCAGGCUAGACGGUGGGAGAGGGUGGUGGAAUUCCCGGAGUAGCGGUGAAAUGCGCAGAUACCGGGAGGAACGCCGAUGGCGAAGGCAGCCACCUGGUCCACUUGUGACGCUGAGGCGCGAAAGCGUGG
rnacentral:rRNA from 1 species